GACGAACGCUGGCGGCGCGCUUAACACAUGCAAGUCGAGCGAGAACCGGGGCUUCGGCCCCGGGGACAGCGGCGAACGGGUGAGUAACACGUGGGUAAUCUGCCCUCGGUUCUGGGAUAGCCCGGGGAAACCCGGAUUAAUACCGGAUAGCCUCUCGAGUCCUCGGACUCGUGAGAAAAGGUAGCUUCGGCCUCCGACCGAGGAGGAGCCUGCGGCGGAUUAGCUUGUUGGCGGGGUAACGCCCACCAAGGCGACGAUCCGUAGCUGGUCUGAGAGGACGAUCAGCCACACUGGGACUGAGACACGGCCCAGACUCCUACGGGAGGCAGCAGUGGGGAAUCUUGCGCAAUGGGCGAAAGCCUGACGCAGCGACGCCGCGUGAGGGAAGAAGGCCU
rnacentral:rRNA from 1 species